UGGGGAAUCUUGCACAAUGGGCGGAAGCCUGAUGCAGCGACGCCGCGUGGGGGAUGACGGCCUUCGGGUUGUAAACUCCUUUCGCCAGGGACGAAGCCGUGAGGUGACGGUACCUGGAUAAGAAGCACCGGCUAACUACGUGCCAGCAGCCGCGGUAAUACGUAGGGUGCGAGCGUUGUCCGGAAUUACUGGGCGUAAAGAGCUCGUAGGUGGUUUGUCGCGUCGUCUGUGAAAUUCCGGGGCUUAACUCCGGGCGUGCAGGCGAUACGGGCAUAACUUGAGUGCUGUAGGGGAGACUGGAAUUCCUGGUGUAACGGUGAAAUGCGCAGAUAUCAGGAGGAACACCGAUGGCGAAGGCAGGUCUCUGGGCAGUAACUGACGCUGAGGAGCGAAAGCAUGGGUAGCGAACAGG
rnacentral:rRNA from 1 species